UUCAUCUCUAUCUGCUUUUGUCGUCUUCCACUACCGCACCCCACGACCUUCCUCAUCCACUAACCGCCGCCGCCGCCGUCGCCGGUGUGCCGCCCGUGCACCUCGCCUCCUCCCUCGCGCCGCCUCCGGACCGUGCUAGCUCGCCGUCGCCGACCUCCCGCCGCGGAUCCCCGUCGCCACCCCAGCACGCCUCGCGUCUUCCAGCCAGCAUGCGCCGCCACGAGCACCAGCCCCCAACCUCCGGGCCCCGCCGCCGGGGAUCUCGCAGAUCAGCCGUGCUAGCAUCCCCACGAAGAAGCCCAUCGCACCGGCCCAGUCGUCCGUCAUGGAUGCAACCAACUUUCCCCAGGAGUAGCCAAGGUUUCGGGAGGAUGAUGGACACCGCGAGAUCCUCUGUUUCAGGAGGAUGAUGGACGCCGCGAGAUCCUCUGUUUCAGGAGGAUGAUGGAUGCCGGCGAGAUCGUCCAUUUCGCCUCCCCGUCCUACGACUAGAUGAAUUGCGGCGUCCAGAUGUCAGCCAAGAAGGCGGCGUCAUUGUUACAAGAUAAAAUGGUUGGUGAAGGAGAUGUGCCUGGUAGUGAAACAGAGGGUUCUCCAAAUAGGACCUCUCGGCGGGACUCAAAACGGGCUGCUAAGCGGAAUGAGCUGGCAUCCUCAGGCUUUUCUAGUUGCACAAGAGUACGUGAUUAGUUGGCAUCCUCAGCAUUUCUAGUUGCACAAUACCAUCCGACUAGUUGACAUCCUCAGUCCUUUUGUAGCUGCGUUGACACCCUCAGCAUUUUCUUCUAGAAGCCUGGAACCUGAAUGUGCACUUUUUUUGAUUGGUCAUGCAAGUGCUGAAUAUUUCUUUUCCCAGGAGUAUCUAAUCAAUUGGCAUCCUCAAGAUUUAUAGUUGCACAAGAGUAUUCAAUUAGUUGGCAUCCUCAGCCUUUCUACUUGCACAAAUAGGCCUUUCUAGUUGCACAAGAGUAACUAUUUUUUAGUCCCAUCUUCAAAUUUUUGAGAGUUUUCCAAGAGUAUCUAAUGACUUGGCACCCUCAGCUUUUCUAGUUGCACAGGAGUAUUUAAUUAGUUGGCAUCCUGAGCAUUUUCUAGUUACACAAUAGCAUCUAACUAAUUGACAUCCUCAGCCUUUCUAGUUGCACAAGAGUAACUAUUUUAGUUGGCAUCCUCUGCAUUUUGUAGUUGCACAACUAACAUAAUAUCAAGUUGGCAUCAUCAACCUUUUUUAUCCAGUUUUUCUGAAGAACAACAAAUAUUUUGUAUGAAGUGUUAACUAAUCACC